UCUUUCCGCGACAGCUUAAGUUAACGUGAGCGUAACCCGCUUAUGUUUGAGAGUUCGCGCGCCACAACGAGCAAUCUGAAAAUAUUUACCAAAAGAAGGGUUUUUUUUCUGGGAGCAUCACUUUUAGGGUCUUUUAGGGUUGUUGAGACUUCAUCAUCCUGACCUCCCAAAAGAUGUAAGAACUCUUCCAAGAAUGGCUAUUCUAUUCAGAAUAAGCCUUGGUACAAUGAUGGCACAACCUUUUGGCCAAAUUAUAAGAGUGAUGAAAGACUUAAAGCAGCAAGAUAUGCUGAGGAACCAGGCCCAAGCUGGACCAAGCAUGAUGUUAGAGUACUAAAGUCCUAUGGAGAUUACAUGUCUGCACAGCAAGGGAUAAAGAAGUUUUUGACUUGUCAAACUUCAGAAUUGGAUUCAGAUGAUGAGGUAGAUAUAAGCAGGGUGCAAAGAGAAUCUAAACUAAAGUAAGUUUGAUUUGACUUCGUCUGUGUUUUGUUGAAUGUAUGAAACCUUUGUUUUGAGUAAUAUGUGCACAUUUAAUCUUCUGUAAACAGCACUACUAUGGUGACACUGACUAUGAAAGUGAACAUGAAGACUUAGCUAAUAAAACAAAACGUCCCUUGACAAGAUCUUCAAAACCUUGACAGUCAACUAGACCUCAAAAGUUAUCCCCACAUUCUGCACCUCAGGUGCCAUCACCACUUUUACCAUCUGUACCACCUUGUUGCUCACCACCACAAAUUUUCCUUCAGGUGUCACCUCCUUACCAGUGAUGAUUGCAGUCUGAAAAUACAUCUCAACAAAUUUCCAACAGCCUUUUAAAGAUGCAAAAUACUUCUGAACUCUUAAGGCCUACUAACAGUGUGGGUUGAUGUGGAACAGAACUAAUGAUCGUAACUUAUCAGUGCAAGGUCAACUAUUCAUUGUACUUGUUUCACAUAUUUAACAACCUUUUGAACAUAUCAGAGCAUAAGUCAACAAGUUGCCAUGUUCAUUUUGUGGCAGUAUAUUCCUUGAUGUUUAGUGUUUUGAUUUUUAAGAUGUCAAGUUUUGUAUGUUCCAGAGGAUAUUCUUUUAACAUAUGUGAGAAUUAUGUUUGUUCCAAAGCACAAGAGUAGGAUCCAUUGCUUUUUCCAAUAAAGGACAAAUUAUUCAAAUUAA